CAUGAUAUUAGCUCUAAACUGCUGGAUCAUACUAGUUUUUCAAAAUGGUGGGGCUGGGGUGAUUUGUGCCAAAGGGCCUGGGUUAAGUUGUGCCAGUGGCACAACAGAGUUCAGAAGUGUUUGCAU